rnacentral:rRNA from 1 species
AGUACGUGAAACUGCUUAGAGGUUAAACCCGAUGAACCUGAAUAUCCAUUAUGGAAAAUUCAAUACUAAUAUUACAAUAUAUAUCAUAUUUGUAAAAGUGGUGUGCAAUUUUUCCAUAUAAGGACAUUGUAAUCUGUUAAUGUAAUAAUUAUUUAUCAAAAGAUUCUUUACUUAAGUUUAUUCAAAUUGUUUAUUUUCGGAUAUUCAACAUAAAAUAAAUGUAUUGAAUUGGAUAAAUCAUUGACAGAUAUAAUUAUAUAAUGUGCUCAAAUUCUAUGGAAUUUUACAAUGAUAAAUGAAUCUAUUGAUUUGUUUAUUUAUUUGUCUGCACUAUUAUGAUUGACAAUGCGAUAGAUUCAGGAUACCUUCGGGACCCGUCUUGAAACACGGACCAAGGAGUCUAACAUAUGUGCAAGUCAUUGGGUAUUUAUAAUAAAACCCAAUGGCAUAAUUAACUUAACUUUAUAUAUAAUGGGAUUAAUUUAUAAUUUAUUAUGAAUUAUUUAUUCAAUCCCGGGGCGUUCUAUAUAGUUAUGUAUAAUGGUAUUUAUAUUAUUUAUACCUCUAACUAGAGCGUACCUUGAGC